rnacentral:rRNA from 1 species
AAAAAGGGGGGGCAUUAUGUCUUGUAUUGGAAUGAUGGGAAUUUAAACCUCUUCCAGAGUAUCAAUUGGAGGGCAAGUCUGGUGCCAGCAGCCGCGGUAAUUCCAGCUCCAAUAGCGUAUAUUAAAAUUGUUGCAGUUAAAAAGCUCGUAGUUGAAUUUCUGCUGCAUUGCAUCUUCUUUUUGAUGAGUUGGUGUAUUGUGGCUUAUUUCGGAUGAUACUUGUAUUAUCCGGAUGAUUACUUUGAGAAAAUUAGAGUGCUCAAAGCAGGCUUUUGCCUUGAAUAGUUUAGCAUGGAAUAAUAAAGUAGGACUUUGGUUCUAUUUUGUUGGUUUUAGGUACCAAAGUAAUGGUUAAUAGGAGCAGUUGGGAGUGUCA